rnacentral:rRNA from 1 species
AUUGAACGCUGGCGGCAGGCCUAACACAUGCAAGUCGAACGACUGGCGGACGGGUGAGUAAUGCCUGGGCAUCUAGCUUAUGGAGGGGGACAACUACGAGAAACUGUAGCUAAUACCGCGUACCAUAGGAUGAGCCCAAGUGGGAGUAGGUAGUUGGUGAGGUAAAGGCUCACCAAGCCGAGGAUCUCUAGCUGGUCUGAGAGGAGGACCAGCCACACGGGGAAGGAGAAACGGCCCAGACACCUACGGGAGGCAGCAGUGGGGAAUAUUGCGCAAUGGGAGCAAGGGGACGCGGCCAAUCCGCGUAAGUCAAGAAGGCCUUCGGGUUGUAGAGUUCUUUCGGUAGCGAGGCGUUAACUACCGAAGAAGCACCGGCUAACUCCGUGCCAGCCGCCGCGGUAAUAC